rnacentral:rRNA from 1 species
AACGAACGCUGGCGGCAGGCUUAACACAUGCAAGUCGAGCGCCCCGCAAGGGGAGCGGCAGACGGGUGAGUAACGCGUGGGAAUCUACCGUGCCCUACGGAAUAGCUCCGGGAAACUGGAAUUAAUACCGUAUACGCCCUACGGGGGAAAGAUUUAUCAGGGUAUGAUGAGCCCGCGUUGGAUUAGCUAGUUGGUGGGGUAAAGGCCUACCAAGGCGACGAUCCAUAGCUGGUCUGAGAGGAUGAUCAGCCACAUUGGGACUGAGACACGGCCCAAACUCUUACGGGAGGCAGCAGUGGGGAAUAUUGGACAAUGGGCGCAAGCCUGAUCCAGCCAUGCCGCGUGAGUGAUGAAGGUCUUAGGAUUGUAAAGCUCUUUCACCGGUGAAGAUAAUGACGGUAACCGGAGAAGAAGCCCCGGCUAACUUCGUGCCAGCAGCCGCGGUAA